rnacentral:rRNA from 1 species
GACGUAGGGCGCGAGCGUUGUCCGGAUUUAUUGGGCGUAAAGAGCUCGUAGGCGGCUUGUCGCGUCGUCCGUGAAAACCCAUGGCUCAACUGUGGGCUUGCGGUCGAUACGGGCAGGCUGGAGUUCGGUAGGGGAGACUGGAAUUCCUGGUGUAGCGGUGAAAUGUGUAGAGAGUCGGGAGGAACACCUGUGGCGAAGGCGGCCCCCUGGUUGGAUACUGACGCUGAUACGCGAAAGCGUGGGGAGCAAACAGG